UACGUAGGGGGCUAGCGUUGUCCGGAAUCAUUGGGCGUAAAGAGCUCGUAGGCGGCUCACUAAGUCGGGUGUGAAAUUUCGAGGCUCAACCUCGAAACGCCACCCGAUACUGGUGUGGCUAGAGUCCGGUAGGGGAGCGUGGAAUUCCUGGUGUAGCGGUGAAAUGCGCAGAUAUCAGGAGGAACACCAGCGGCGAAGGCGGCGCUCUGGGCCGGUACUGACGCUGAGGAGCGAAAGCGUGGGGAUCAAACAGG
rnacentral:rRNA from 1 species